GGAGCCACAGGGAGGGAUACCACUCCAGCCUUAGGAAAAGAAACCUGCCACGGGAAUCUUGGAGAUUGGCAACCAUACAAUGACUUA
rnacentral:pre_miRNA from 1 species